GAUGAACGCUGGCGGCGUGCCUAAUACAUGCGAGUCGAGCGAACAGACGAGGAGCUUGCUCCUCUGACGUUAGCGGCGGACGGGUGAGUAACACGUGGAUAACCUACCUAUAAGACUGGGAUAACUUCGAGAAACCGGAGCUAAUACCGGAUAAUAUAUUGAACCGCAUGGUUCAAUAGUGAAAGACGGUUUUGCUGUCACUUAUAGAUGGAUCCGCGCUGCAUUAGCUAGUUGGUAAGGUAACGGCUUACCAAGGCAACGAUGCGUAGCCGACCUGAGAGGGUGAUCGGCCACACUGGAACUGAGACACGGUCCAGACUCCUACGGGAGGCAGCAGUAGGGAAUCUUCCGCAAUGGGCGAAAGCCUGACGGAGCAACGCCGCGUGAGUGAUGAAGGUCUUCGGAUCGUAAAACUCUGUUAUUAGGGAAGAACAAAUGUGUAAGUAACUAUGCACGUCUUGACGGUACCUAAUCAGAAAGCCACGGCUAACUACGUG
rnacentral:rRNA from 1 species